CUACGGGUCGCAGCAGUCACGAAUCUUCCUCAAUGGCCGAAAGGCUGAAGGAGCAAUGCCGCGUGUAUGAAGACGCCUUUCGGGGUGUAAAAUACUUUUAACUGGGAAGAAACAAUGACGGUACCAGUUGAAUAAGGGGCUGCUAACCUCGUGCCAGCAGCAGCGGUAAUACGAGGGCCCCAAGCGUUAUCCGGAUUUACUGGGCGUAAAGGGUCCGUAGGUGGUUUGUAACAUCUCCUGUUAAAUCUUCAAGCUCAGCUUGGAGGCCGCGGGAGAUAUGGACAAACUAGAGGUCGGAAGAGGCAAGUGGAAUUGCUGGUGUAGGGGUUAAAUCCGUUAAUAUCAGCAGGAACACCAAAUGCGUAGGCAACUUGCUAGGACGAUCCUGACACUGAGGGACGAAAGCGUGGGGAGCGAAUGGGAUUAGAUACCCUGGUAGUC
rnacentral:rRNA from 1 species